CCCGAAAGAUGGUGAACUAU
rnacentral:ncRNA from 3 species